rnacentral:rRNA from 1 species
AACGAACGCUGGCGGCAGGCCUAACACAUGCAAGUCGAGCGCCGUAGCAAUACGGAGCGGCGGACGGGUGAAUAACACGUGGGAAUAUGCCCUUCGGUACGGAAUAACGCAGGGAAACUUGCGCUAAUACCGUAUACGCCCUCAGGGGGAAAGAUUUAUCGCCGAAGGAUUAGCCCGCGUCCGAUUAGCUAGUUGGUGAGGUAACGGCCCACCAAGGCGACGAUCGGUAGCUGGUUAAGAGAACGAUCAGCCACACUGGGACUGAGACACGGCCCAGACUCCUACGGGAGGCAGCAGUGGGGAAUCUUGGACAAUGGGCGCAAGCCUGAUCCAGCCAUGCCGCGUGAGUGAUGAAGGCCUUCGGUUGUAAAC